GACGAACGCUGGCGGCGUGCUUAACACAUGCAAGUCGAACGGAAAGGCCCUGCUUUUGUGGGGUGCUCGAGUGGCGAACGGGUGAGUAACACGUGAGUAACCUGCCCUUGACUUUGGGAUAACUUCAGGAAACUGGGGCUAAUACCGGAUCGGAGCUCCAGUUGCAUGGUGGGGGUUGGAAAGUUUCGGCGGUUGGGGAUGGACUCGCGGCUUAUCAGCUUGCUGGUGGGGUAGUGGCUUACCAAGGCUUUGACGGGUAGCCGGCCUGAGAGGGUGACCGGCCACAUUGGGACUGAGAUACGGCCCAGACUCCUACGGGAGGCAGCAGUGGGGAAUAUUGCACAAUGGGCGGAAGCCUGAUGCAGCAACGCCGCGUGCGGGAUGACGGCCUUCGGGUUGUAAACCGCUUUCGCCUGUGACGAAGCGUGAGUGACGGUAAUGGGUAAAGAAGCACCGGCUAACUACGUG
rnacentral:rRNA from 1 species